rnacentral:misc_RNA from 1 species
UUUCCGUAGGUGAACCUGCGGAAGGAUCAUUAUUGAAAUCAAUUCUGAUAAGUUGCUGCUGGCUCUCUAGGGAGCAUGUGCACACUUGUCAUCUUUGUAUCUUCACCUGUGCACCUUUUGUAGAUCUGAGAAUCUCUCUGAAUGCUUUUUAGCACUCAGGAUUUGGAAUUGACUUGAUGUCUUUUCUUACAUUUUCAGGUCUAUGUUUUUCAUAUACCCCAUGUAUGUUUAUAGAAUGUAAUUAAUGGGCCUUUGUGCCUAUAAACAUUUACAACUUUCAGCAACGGAUCUCUUGGCUCUC